UUCAAAGUACCCAUCCAUUCCCAAAUUAAAAUCUCGUCUCCUUCCUUUCACAUUCAAUUCAUCAUCUCCUUCAUCCUUCUUCUCAAGUAUGUUUGCGAGAUAAUAGUGUGUAUAUGAAAUACCAAUUCCCUAUUUGUGGAUGAUAAUAGGCCCAAUUUGCUAUUAUGAAUUCUGUGAGGCUGACAGCCACCACCAUCAAAGAUUGUGGAGGGUUUUGAAGGAAAGCACAACAUUGAUAUCUACUACAAGAAUGAGUGAAUAGUUGUUGUGAAGAAGGUUGAAUGCGGUUCAGAAUUUAUCCCUUUUAGGAUUUUGGACCUCCGAGUUCACAUGGUUUGGCUUAGUGGGUGCUUGGUUCGGCUACAUCAGGUGAAAGUUACAGAGUUUCAUAUUUUCUUUUUAUUUUGAAUUGCCACGUUCUUAUUAUACAGCUUCUUUUAGAUUAUGCAUUUGGGAUUUGAUGAAAGGGUAAUUUGGUUUAGUUAGGCAUGUAAGUAGCUAAUUAUUUUCAUUUGGUUUCUAUUUAGAAUUAAUAAAUUACUCCUUACUGCAAGUUCACUGCAUUAUAAUUUUUGUUGAUUAAAUUUGUUCAAAGUCAACUCUUUUACUACCACUAUUCCCACCUCUAUGGCCGUUCAUACCGUGCCCCUAUGUCUAAGAAGGUUUCAGUUAUCUCUAGGUAAAUAUUCUUUUGCUUCUAAGUGUAUAUUAAUAUGUGCUUUGUAUUUCUUUAUUUUUUUCUUUUUUUUUUGGUUUCCUAUUGUUUUCAUAAUUUUUGGUUCUAGUAAUUACAAAUUAUUUUAAUUUGGAUUUAUUUUGGGUGUAUGAAGUUUUAUUUGGCGUUUGAGGCUUCACAUUCGUUUUCUAUUUUUUGUUGGGUUUAAUUUCUUGAUUUCAAAUAAUUAUAGAUGUGUUUUAACUCUAAUUGGUUUGAAGCUAAUUGAAAAGAUGAGAUUUUUUUUUUAACCAUUGAGUGCAUUCUAGAACUUUUUUUGUUUGGCCAUUCAUUGACAUGAAAUUGACUAUAAUUUCUUAUUUUUCUCGAAGGGAUCAAAUGAAUUUCAUUUUGUUGAAGCAUAGUUUCUUAUUUUUUUUGGGAGUUGGUUUUUAUACCAGAUAUUAUAGCUUAGUAUGCAUAUUAUAUUUGCUUUGUUUAAACUGCAGUAACUUGUUAAUUGCUUCUUAAUUUUUCAUGGUCUAUGAUAGGGUGUUACAAAAGAAAGGAACUUAGGAAUGAGUGAAAAUGAUUCAAAGAAUAACUUAGGAAUGAUGAGUAGAUGUUAUUCAUUAUAAAGAACAAUUUGCAGUAUGAUUCUUUACAUUACAUUUGUAUGUUUGUGGUGCCUUCUCAUAUAGCCAAUUAAUUUUUUUGCGAGGCAAUGAUGCUAAUCAUCAAUCUUUUUUUUUUUGUUAAAUUUUCAGCUCAAAGUGGAUUCAGACUAUGUUUAGUUUUCUCUAGUCCCCAAAACCACAUGGUAGUAGUUUUUGAAGCUAUAUGACAUUCUAGGUUCUUCAAUUUUUGUUAGAUAUUCGCAAUAUAAUCAAUUAUGUUUGCCUUUCAUCUAGUAAUACUACUAUGGAAAGAGUUUGUUCAACAAUUUUGAUGGGUAGAAAAAUGGCUGGUUCAGUUAUUUUGUGGAGGCUAGAUGUAGCUUAAGAUUCAUCCAUGAUAAGUUUUCAACUAUCAGUUUCACAUAUUGUACAAAUUAAUAUUUGGUUCGUGUUGUAUUGUUAUCAGGAAGUUUGUUUUUUAAAUUAAGUUUUAGAAGUAUAGUUUUAUUUUCUUGAUGUAAUUUUGUUUUUGAGAACUUGAAGAUUGAGAUGAGAUGUCAAUAAAUUAAAAUAUGCAUAGUGGGGACUUGGGAAUGACUAUUUCUAUCUCAAGGUUUAAAAUGAAUUUUAAGAAAAAUUCCCUAGCUAUUUUAUGUGUUGUAUCUUUGUUUUUAACGUUCUGAAAUGAAAAUUUUUAGUCAUCAAACCAUGAUUCUGAAGGAUGAUUUUGAUUCAAAUGAUUGUUGAAAUUGCUUGAGUCAUACAAGAUAUGGGGAAAG
rnacentral:lncRNA from 1 species